UUGUGCAGAGCUGCUGAAAAACAUGGCUGGUGUUUCCAGCUACUGUCCACAAGCUCAUAAUCACAAUACUUCUAAAAUUCCAGGAAUCUGCACCGUAGGAUACUUGAUGACAUAGCAAAUAACUCCUCCAUUGAUGCAGCAGCUCUCAGAAACAACUCUGGCAUUUACUCUCUGAGAAGUAAAUAUUGACUUAACAGCAUCUACCAGAGCAUAUGCAAAAGGCAUACGAAUGAUUGCUUCUGCCAGUGCAGACUCACAUGUUCAGAAUCACACCUGCCACUUUAUUCUGAAUCACUGAACCAUGUAAAUCAUGAGAGAGAAACCUCCACUUACAACUGAAAUGAAAAGUAGCCAUGAGACUCUCUUCCAAUUUAAUCCAGCCCAUAACUCUAUUCUUAGAUGGACAUUUUACAUGCAACAUCCCAGUCCUGCCAAUAUACAUAAAUAUAAAUGACUCUACCAGGGGAGAAGACUGGGCAACACCCAUCAGCAUCCUGAGACCAUUUGCCACUAUGUGGUUCUGGGCUUUUUAGGUUGGAGACUGAUUCUGUCUGAACUCCAAAAGAAGUAAAAGAAAAGCCUAUAACCUGAAGGGACACCAAGCCAGGAAACAGAUUUUCAGUGAGAUCAUUUCAUACUUCUUCAUAGCUUAUGUUUACUCUAGUUAACAUCCACCUAACUUUAAGGACUCUCUACAUUUUGAAGAAUUGAUUGUUGCUAAAUUCUAAAUGCUUUGCUUUUCAACUACAGCUUGAUAGCCUGGAAUGUACACAUACUGCCCUCUGCAACUCCUCCAGCAGAACCUAGGAAAAGCAAUUUCAUUGCUCUCUUUAUUGCUAAACAAAAUAUAAGCCCAGCAGAAUAAAGGGCUUUACUUAGACUCCUCUAAUUUUCUCAUUGUUUAGGUAUGUUCCACAUUAAAAUAA